GAUGAACGCUGGCGGCGUGCCUAAUACAUGCAAGUCGAGCGAACAGACGAGGAGCUUGCUCCUCUGACGUUAGCGGCGGACGGGUGAGUAACACGUGGAUAACCUACCUAUAAGACUGGGAUAACUUCGGGAAACCGGAGCUAAUACCGGAUAAUAUAUUGAACCGCAUGGUUCAAUAGUGAAAGACGGGUUUGCUGUCACUUAUAGAUGGAUCCGCGCCGCAUUAGCUAGUUGGUAAGGUAACGGCUUACCAAGGCGGCGAUGCGUAGCCGACCUGAGAGGGUGAUCGGCCACACUGGAACUGAGACACGGUCCAGACUCCUACGGGAGGCAGCAGUAGGGAAUCUUCCGCAAUGGGCGAAAGCCUGACGGAGCAAAGCCGCGUGAGUGAUGAAGGUCUUCGGAUCGUAAAACUCUGUUAUUAGGGAAGAACAAAUGUGUAAGUAACUAUGCACGUCUUGACGGUACCUAAUCAGAAAGCCACGGCUAACUACGUG
rnacentral:rRNA from 1 species